GAGGUUGGGUUUUUUUGGGUGAGUGACCUGCACUCCACGUUGCGAGCUGAUCAAUAGCGCUCAGAGCUUAUCUCCCACUUCCAUUUACUGUUUGACUAAAAGCCUUGGAGGCCACAUAAAGAGGACCAGAAGGGAGCAGACCGACCUGAACUUAGCUCAUAUCGUCAAAAUGAACUGCUGCUGGGAGAUCACUGGCGUAGAGACGAUGGGAAAGUGUGCUGGAAUUUGUAAAUGUGAUCACACACAUGCUGUGGAGACCGGAAAGCUUGAUGACGGCCAUCUUUACGAUCGGAUCCAGAGGCUUCAUGUGAGAAAUUUGUCUCCUGAGCUCAAAUGUUCCUGUGGGUCAAAUGUCUUUUGCACACCCUUAGGGUGAAAUAAGAAAGAACAAGAAGAAAUUUCAUGUGUUUGUCUGAUCAUUGUUCAAAACAUUUAUACCCAGUCGUGAUGUCUCAUUUAUAUCUUUUGUUCUCACUUUGCAUAGAUGAAUGUCCUGAGCUUAACAUUAGCGCUUAACGCUUAGCGUUACCAUCCAUCUUCAACUGCUUACUCCAUCGCAGGGCACAAUCACAUACACACUCACACAUUAAUGUGAUAAUUAUUCGAAAGAAUACAAUUCAAUUCAACACAAAAACAUGUUUUCCUCCUCGACCAGAUUUAUCAUGAGGAUCUUGAAACUUGCAAAAAUUGUAAAUAAAUACUACUUUUGCCAAUGGCGAAUAAAUGGGUAUGACCUGC